rnacentral:lncRNA from 1 species
CCCUUUUCCCUAAAUUAUAUACUAAAUUUACAUAAUGAAUCAAUUUUGUCGAUAUAUAGUACACUUACCUGAAUCAUACCUGUGUGAAUGACAGGUGUUUCACUUGAUUAUCAAUAUUUUAUCAAAACAUAAACAAUGGCACAUGGCGCACACUCACCUCACGAUUUCCUUCGUUUUCUUUGUUGUCUUCUCUUUUCAAUUGACAUCCAUUAAUAAAUGAUGGUUGUGCGAUGUUGUUUAAUUUACAAUUAUAAUCUGUGAUGUACAUUUUUACGGGUUUAUCAUUUGCAAUCAGAAGUCCAGUUUCAGAAAUUUGUGUGGCUACUUCCGCCAUUUUCAAUACAAAUGAAAAUGUUUGCUUAUCAAAUUUAAUCACGCUCCAAAGCUCACGAUAAUGUACUGUAUCUCUCCUCGGGUCACCUACCAAUAAAAUAAUUUAUGUUACAUUUAAAUGUUCAACAAUGUUUCAUAGUAUUUUCUGAAGCGCAAAUUUAACGUUGACAAUGGUCGAGUAGUCUGUUCUUUUCGGCGAUCAGCUGCUGCAUUUGAA